rnacentral:misc_RNA from 1 species
AUCUUUCAACAAUGGAUCACUUGGUUCUGGCAUCGAUGAAGAACGCAACGAAAUGCGAUAAGUAAUGUGAAUUGCAGAAUUCAGUGAAUCAUCGAAUCUUUGAACGCACAUUGCGCCCCUUGGUAUUCCGAGGGGCAUGCCUGUUCGAGCGUCAUUAUAACCACUCAAGUCUCGGCUUGGUUUUGGGGUUCGCGGUCUCGCGUCCCCUAAAAUCAGUGGCGGUGCCGUCUGGCUCUAAGCGUAGUAAUUCUCUCGCUAUAGGGUCCCGGCGGUUGCCUGCCAGAACCCCCCAUUUUUUACGGUUGACCUCGGAUCAGGUAGGGAUACCCGCUGAACUUAAGCAUAUCAAUAAGCGGAGGCU